GGGGGUUUGGUGACCCCGGGGGGGGGGUCGGUGGCACCCUGGGGGGGGUGACACAGGUUGGAGGGACCCCUCUGACCCCCCCAAAUCCCCCUCCCAAGGUUUGGGAUCCGCUGCAAUUCCGUCCUGCCGGGAUUUAUCGUCACCCCCAUGACGGACAAAGUACCCCCAAAAGUGCUGGACAAGACGUGGUAGACAUGGUGACUUUCCUGGCGUCGGGGGACAGCGGCUACGUCACCGGGGCCACCCUGGAGGUGACAGGUGGGGACCCCCCAUGUCCCCAGGGUCCCCCCCAUAUGUCCCCAGUGUGUCCCCAAUGUCCCCCCAGUGUGUCCCC